rnacentral:rRNA from 1 species
UACAGAGGGGGCAAGCGUUGUUCGGAAUUACUGGGCGUAAAGGGCGCGUAGGCGGCCUGUUAAGUCGAACGUGAAAUCCCCGGGCUCAACCCGGGAACUGCGUCCGAUACUGGCAGGCUUGAAUCCGGGAGAGGGAUGCGGAAUUCCAGGUGUAGCGGUGAAAUGCGUAGAUAUCGGGAGGAACACCUGUGGCGAAAGCGGCUCACUGGACCACAACUGACGCUGAGGCGCGAAAGCUAGGGGAGCAAACAGG